rnacentral:rRNA from 1 species
UACAGAGGUCUCGAGCGUUGUUCGGAUUUAUUGGGCGUAAAGGGUGCGUAGGCGGUGUGGCAAGUCAAGUGUGAAAUCUCGGGGCUUAACUUCGAAACUGCAUUCGAUACUGCCGUGCUUGAGGACUGGAGAGGAGACUGGAAUUUACGGUGUAGCGGUGAAAUGCGUAGAUAUCGUAAGGAAGACCAGUGGCGAAGGCGGGUCUCUGGACAGUUCCUGACGCUGAGGCACGAAGGUCAGGGGAGCAAGCGGG